rnacentral:rRNA from 1 species
CAGCAGCCACGGGAACACAGAGGGUGCGAGCGUUAAUCGGAUUUACUGGGCGUAAAGCGUGCGUAGGCGGCUUCUUAAGUCGGAUGUGAAAUCCCUGAGCUUAACUUAGGAAUUGCAUUCGAUACUGGGAAGCUAGAGUAUGGGAGAGGAUGGUAGAAUUCCAGGUGUAGCGGUGAAAUGCGUAGAGAUCUGGAGGAAUACCGAUGGCGAAGGCAGCCAUCUGGCCUAAUACUGACGCUGAGGUACGAAAGCAUGGGGAGCAAACAGGAUUAGAUACCCCUGUAGUCCCUGUCUCUUAUAC